UGAGGAAUAUUGGUCAAUGGACGCAAGUCUGAACCAGCCAAGUAGCGUGCAGGAUGACGGCCCUAUGGGUUGUAAACUGCUUUUAUAUGGGGAUAAAGUGGGGAACGUGUUCCCUUUUGCAGGUACCAUAUGAAUAAGGACCGGCUAAUUCCGUGCCAGCAGCCGCGGUAAUACGGAAGGCUCGGGCGUUAUCCGGCUUUAUUGGGUUUAAAGGGAGCGUAGGCCGUUUGGUAAGCGUGUUGUGAAAUGUAGGAGCCCAACUUCUAGAUUGAAGCUCGAACUGUCAGACUUGAGUGCGCACAGCGUAGGCGGAAUUCAUGGUGUAGCGGUGAAAUGCUUGGAUAUCAUGACGAACUCCGAUUGCGAAGGCAGCUUACGGGAGCGCAACUGACGCUAAAGCUCGAAGGUGCGGGUAUCGAACAGG
rnacentral:rRNA from 1 species